rnacentral:ribozyme from 11 species
AAAUGCAAGAACGAGAAGAAAAAAAAAAAAAAAAAAUAUAUAUAUAUAUAUUUAAUCCCGACACGGUCCUUCCACUCUCAGGCCGUGUAUCAUGAUGUAGCUAUGCAUUUUUAUCUUUUCAUAAUUCUUUCUG